GCUCCAGCAACAGGCACGGCUCCGAGGCUCUGCUGACUGCUCGCUCUUGUCUCUAAUUCUCGCCUGACGCAGACAUUCCCUGCCCAGGGAAGUGUUUGAUUUAUGUUGAGGUUUGAGUGUCGGGAUUUUGCUGACAGAUGAAGGAACUGAAGUACGAAGAGAUGAAAUAAAUCACUUAAGCUGCAGAACCUGGAGAUGUUAGAGCUAGAGGGGUGUGAUCCGAGAGCAGAGCCUGGGCGCCCAACCACUUCAUAGAUGUUAUUGGUGGCACGAGGACCCUUUGGUGCCAACCGCAACUGCACAGCUUACUGCAGCCCAAAGGAUGGCACACUUGUCUGUGUACCUGUCGGCCCGCCUCCUGGAAGGCUGUGGAGUUUCUGUCAGCUGUGUUGCAACUCAUAGGGUCACAUGAUCCACUGGGACAGACUUGACUCCUGGAGUACUGGCCAUGUUACCAGAGGAUGUGAGCUCUGGAGCUGAUCGCCUAACACCUUGGACCAACAACCUCACUUCCUCGUUAUCGAAGUUUCCUCCUCAGUGAAAUGAUUGUUAUGAGGGUUAACGGAGGCAAAUCAGCUAUUGCCUUCUACCGCCACUCCCCAGACAAGACCUCCGAAGUUUGAAUCCCUACUCUCAUUCGUAUGUAUACCUUUGGCCCAGUGACUCAGUUCUGAACCAGCCAGAACAGGAGGCCUCUGGAGAGAGGACCGCCAGGGAGAAUGCAGCCUCAGGCCCGAAAGAUGAAGGCCCAAUGGAAGAAACAGAAUCCAGCUGGCCUCGCACCAGAGACCCACUCUUUCCAGGGCCUGCGCCUGGGAGCCCAGCAGCCCAGCAGCUGUUGCAGACCCUCACUAGACUGCAUCUUAAAAGGGCCAUUGAACAAGAUACUGCCCACUUCCAAAUACAAGAGGGCUCCGCUGAGGAAAAUCUAUUAAUCCCCACUGCCACCAUGGCAAACAACGCUAAAAAUGUGUUUCCCCUUCUUUCAUCUACCUUUACGGGUCAAACUGGGGGCUUGGAGAGUUUGGAUGAGGGGUUCCUUGAGGAACUACAGAGGGAAAAUG